AAAUUGUUUUUAUCACUUCUAGCUAAAUUGUUUCUUUCUAAGUGCUGUAUCAUAUAAUUUCCUGUAUCAAUACCCUUUUCUUCCUGUAACAACACCUUUUUCUAAGGGCUAUAUCAGCUAAUUUCCUGUAUCAAUACCUUUUUCUUUCUAGUUCGAGAAGCUAAAAUUGACUUCACAUUCUGAUUGAUAAAUUAAAAUCACAAAAAUAUGAAAUUUCACACUCAAAAAUAAAUACACCCAGAUCUAAAUAAAGACCUUGACCAAAACCAAUCAGUAGUCAAGUGCACUGCUUCUCUCCUGCUUUUCAUUUGUUAUCUUCUGCUUCAACUUCAAUAUCAAAGUGCUUUUCGUUAGAUCGUGAAUGCUUUUAUUGAGAAGGUAGUUGAUAUUGGCUUAAAGAAGUUCAAAAGUAUUAGGGACUUUGAUGAGAAUAUGGAAACUCUGGAAGAAAUGUUAAGUAAUUAUCAGACAAAGUGCUCGAUGUGAAGACAGAGGUUGAGAAUCGAGAGCCAUUUGGGAGGAAUAGGAAAAAGGAAGUUGAUUCUUGGUUUGACAAAAUUAUGAAGGUUGAAGAAGUAUUACGUGUGUUAAAUGAAUAAGUAACAAUAGGGAAGAGAAGUGCAGCUGCUUUGCAGAAAAUGAGUGGAAUGGUUGGAGAACUUCUUGAGCAAAGUAAACAUUUUGGAGUGCUCUUACAUGAUUUGUAUGAGAGAGUGUCUACUUCUUGUAGGCAAGUUCAUGUGGAAACCUCAAAACAAAAUUUAGAAAAAAAUUGGACGUGCUCAAGCAUCCAUAUAUAUGGUAUGGGAGGUGUAGAAAAGACGACUUUGGCAAAGCAUAUACAUACUCAUCUUGUUAAUGAGAUUCGUAAUCAACUCUCUUGGGUUAGUUUCUCAAGGGUUUAGCGGUAAAAUAUUACAAGAUGAUAUUCCCAAAAUUGUGCAUCUGGACCUUUCAGAUGCGGUAGGCGGUAGGCAAACGAAGAUGGGCAACCAUAUUAAAUCGGGCAUUCUUUUCAAAAAGAAGAAUAACAUUUUUAUCAUUUUGGAUGAGGUCUGGGAUCCCCUUUGCUUGGAGAAGUUGCUCGAUGUGGAGGAGGGCUGUAGACUGAUUCUAACUCUUCGCUCGUAUGAAGUUUGCGAAAAGAUAGGUUGUCAGAAACUACUCGAAGUGGGGAAACUCAUGACUUAUGAUGCUUGAGAGUUGUUCAGGAAGAGUCUAGGGUGCGAGACUCUGUUUAGUCUAGAUAUUGAGCCAAUUUCCAAAUCCAUGGCAGGAAGGUGCAAGGGCUUGCCAUUUGGGCUCAUCACUUUAGCGGGAAGCAUGAGAGGGGUGACUGAUAUAAGGGAUUGGAAGAAUGCUUUGAAAGAAUUCCCCGAUGACAUGGAAAAUGAUGUCUUCAAGGUACUGCAAUAUAGUUAUGAUUGGUUAAAAGCUCUAAAUAUUUGCAAGAGUGCUUCUUGUACUGUUGUGCUUUGUAUCCUGAGGAAAUAGUAUUAAUAGAAAGGAACUAAUUGGUGAGUUUUCAUGGAGGGGCUGGUGAAGAAAAUAGUAGGUAAGAAGAGUUUAACCAGGGCCAUACCAUAUUGAAUAAACAGUGAAACUCUGCUUACUUGAUGCAACUGAUGGCACAAAAUGUACUCUUCUUACUUGAUGCAACUGAUGGCACAAAAUGUACUCUUGGGCGUUAUGAAGCAAUAAAGAUGCAUGAUUUACUCAGGGAAAUGGCAUUGCGGAUCACAAAUGUUAAACCAAGGUACAUGGUAAGGGCUGGAAUAGGAUCACAAGUGCCAAAGGAACAAGAUUGGGCAUUCGAUUUGGAUAAAGUCUCUUUUUACAACAGCGAGAUAAAGGGAAUCCCUGAAGACACGACACCCAAUUGCCCCACAUUAUCAACCUUCUUUUGGGAAGAUUGUAGUUUGAGAAAGAUCCUGAAAUCUUCUUUCAGCAUUUGAACAACCUGCAAGUACUUGACUAUGCAGUUAAGUUAUGAUAACUUAUUCGAUUAUUAAGACCUUGCCUUCUUUAUUGGGGAUGUUUCUGGAGGACCACGAAAUUGUGGUGUCUAAACUGAUAACUUUGUGGAUGGGGAAGGUUUUGUGCAGAACAUUGGAUCUGGGAGUUAGGAAAAGGCAGCUGAAGAAUACUUGAAGGAGCUCAUUAGCAGUAACAUGGUAGUGGUUUCAAGGAGAAGAUAUAAAGGAAAAAACAAAAUACUCUCUGGUUCAUGAUGUAGUGCAUCACUUUUGCUUGGAGAGGAGUAGAGAAGAAAAGUUUCUGAUGGUAGUGAAAGGGGAUUAUAGCUACUUUCAUCCUUCUAAAUGGAAGGAAAACCAAUUCAGCCUUGGUUUCAUGGAUAAAUAUUUCAAAAUACAACUGCCUUCCAAUUAGGGAGAACCUUGGGAUUGUGAUAUCUUCCAUCAGCGCCUUUCAUAGUAUCGUGGACACUUUCAUUGAGAAGGUACUUGAUUUUGGCUUAAAGAAGUUCAAAAGUAUUAGUGAUUUCAUUGAGCAGAUGGAAACUCUGGAAAGAAAUGUAAAACAAUUAUCAGAUAAAGCACUCGAUGUGAAGACAAAAGUUGAGAAUCGAAAGCGAUCUGGGAAGAAGAAGAGGAACAGGGAAGUUGGUUCUUGGUUUGACGAAGUUAUGAAGGUUGAAGUAUGACGUGUUAAAGGAAGAAGCAACAAGAGGGAAGAAAAAUGGAGGUGCUUGGACAAGAUGAAUGGGAUGGUUGAAGAACUUGAGCAAAGUAAACAUUUUGGAAUUCCUGUCAAUGAUAUGUAUGAGAGUGAGUGUCUGCUUCUGGCACGGCAAGUUCAUGAGGAAACACCAAAACAAAAUUUAGAAAAAAUUUGGACGUGGUUAAAGGAUGAUGUCUCAAGUAGGGGUGUAUAAACCAAACCGUUAAGUCAAAUCGAACCGAUGAAUCAAAUCAAUCUGAGAAAAAAAAAACGACUUAUGGUUUGGUUUGAUUGGUUUGGUGUUGACAAAAAAAAUUGAUCAUUCUUGGUUUAAUUUGGUAUUAGAAAAAAUAAAAUCAAACUGAACCCAAACUGAACCGACGUAAUACAUAUAUAAUUUUAAUUUUUUAUACGUAAAAAAUAUUACUUAUAAUCUACUUUUUAAUUACUUUUAUUAUUUUUUUAUAUUUAAAAAAUAGAUAUAUAUUCUUGGACCUUUAAUUAUAGUAUUUUUCUAUGGAGAAAAUACAUAAAGUAACAUACUUAAGUAUUAAAUUAUAAAAAAAUGACAACUCUUUUAUUAAAUUACAUUUUGUAGCAUAUGUAUUUGUAUGUGUUUGUAUUUUUAUAGCAAUAGUUUGCAAAAAUAUAAAAUACAUAUCGAUCAUAGAGGUAGUAAAAAUCAUAUGUAUUUGUAUUUUUGUAGCAACAGUUUUCAAAAAUACAAAAUAUAAUUUGCUAUAUUAUGUAAUUAUGAAAUUGUUGCUAUGAAAUUCAUAAUUAAGGGAAUAAGUAUGUUAUUUUUGAAUUUUGCCCUUUUUCCAUUAAUAACAAAUUAAUAUAAAACUUAAUAUUAAUAUAAAAAUCUAAAACUCUUUAAUUGCUUCACUUUUACAUUUUACUUUUCAAGUAUUCAGAGAAUUUUCUUUAUUUUCUCAUUUUAAUUUCAUCUUACUUUUCCCAUUGGUCAUGUUGUGAUAUAGGUUUGUUUGUUUUUUUCUUUUAUGGAAUUAUGUUAUAAUUAAUUAUUUUAUGGAGUUAAGUUUUUAAUAAGUUGUCUCCAAUUCUUCAUUCUUUUGUAUGCUCACAUUUUAUGUGAAGAAAAUUUUCAGACAAGCUACUGUGACUAGUGACUUAGAAAUUGAACUACUUGGGUAUCCAUAUAAUAUUACUUUGAAAGAUAGUAGUUUAGACGAUUUAGUAAUUUGCCAACUUAAUUUUUAUUGAAACUACUCUAUGAUUAUUGUUAUUUUUUUAAUCUUUUUAGUGAAAACAUUUAAUUUUUUCUUCAAUCACAUUAUAAUUGUAAAAAAUUUGAGAAAAUCGAAAAAUCAAAAAAAUCAAAAAAACCCGAAAUAAAAAAAUCGAUUAUAUAUUGGUUUGAUAAAGUUUAUAAUUUAGAAAAUUGACAUUAUUGAUUUGGUUUUGUUUUAAUUAAAAAUCGAACCAACCCGAUUUAUGUACACCCCUAGUCUCAAGCAUUGGUAUAUAUAGUAUGGGAAGUGUAGGCAAGACGACUAAUUACAUCUACAAUUAGUGAACUUCCAGAUCUAAAAGUGCUCUACCUAGGCGGACGACUUGAAUUGAAGAGAAUAUGUGAUGUAAAAUUGAUGUGUGAUUCCCUCGAAUCGAUGGCCUUCCUCGGCUGCUGCAAGCUGAAGAGGAUGCCUUUGUAUACUUCCAGUACAAAUAGACAUACCUUCCAUCUCUUAGAGAAAUCUGUGUUGAAGAAUAUUGGUGGGAAACAUUGGUAUGGGACCGAUCCCAUGUCUAAGACCCUCUUCCAACCUUGUAUUACUUUAAAGGAAACAUUUGUUUUGUUUAAUUUUGUUCCUCAAAACAAACAUGUUUUAGAUUCAACUUCAUGUUAAGCAGAGGCUAACUGGUUGUUCAGCAAUGAUCAAUAUUUCUUGUUUUAAUGACAGACACUUUGCUCUUUUUACUUUU